UGGCAUAAAGAUGCUCUUUGGACCCGGAACCAGACUGACGGUAGAACCCGAUAAUCCAGUCCAACCGCAGUACUACCAACUGAGCAACAAUGAGACCACAGUUUGUCUGGCAACAGGAUUUACAAGACACAACCAAACCGAAGACAAUGAUGACUUCAAGGAUACCAGUGCCAGUCCGAUAAGAGAUUAUAACGGCAACCCAACAGGCUACUAUAACCAGGUGGCUUUCCCAAUAGAAGGUCAAAGUUGUAACGAAACUGAUAAUCCAGAUGAGAAAUGUACCUCCACAGUGGAUCCAGAUGAGAUGGUGAACCUGGCCUCCCUGACCAUCUUUGGCCUCAGAGUGAUCUUCAUGAAGACCGUGAUCUUCAACGUCCUGAUGACGCUGCGGCUGUGGAUCAGUCAGUAAAACGACCGGAAUGAAGGGAACUUCCCAGAAGAACGUCCUGCUGAAUGAAGUGGAGCUGCUGAAGCUUCUUUCUCUGGAAAUAAAA